GUCCACGCCGUAAACUAUGGAUGCUAGCCGUCGGAUAGCUUGCUAUUCGGUGGCGCAGCUAACGCAUUAAGCAUCCCGCCUGGGGAGUACGGCCGCAAGGUUAAAACUCAAAGGAAUUGACGGGGGCCCGCACAAGCGGUGGAGCAUGUGGUUUAAUUCGACGCAACGCGAAGAACCUUACCAGCCCCUUGACAUGUCCGGACGGUUUCCAGAGAUGGAUUCCUCCUAGCAAUAGGUCGGAACACAGGUGCUGCAUGGCUGUCGU
rnacentral:rRNA from 1 species